AUUUAAAUCACAAACCAAUAACAUCCCUUUAUUCUGAAGUCCAAGAUCCUUUGAUAUUUUUAUUUCAACUCCAAUCAAAUGAUGAUGUUUUAGUGACGGUUGAGGGGGAUAAUAAGGAGCAUUAUGUACAGAAGUAUAUCUACAAAUUAAACUCAGGGUUAUAUAUGUAUAGUGGGUUAACGUGGGUCAUUAACAGACCCAUAAAACUAAUUAGUGUCGGUUUACAAACCGACUUAGAGCAGCUCCAUUGGAUAGAUGCCCACAGCCCACUUGGGUAUCUCGAAAAUAAAAUUAUACUAAUAUUUUUUAAUAUUAUUUAGUUAUUUAGUUAAUUUUUAAUUAGUUAAACCUUACAUAAGAAUUAUA
rnacentral:lncRNA from 1 species